UUGAAAGGGAAACGAUUGAAGUCAGUCGUACCUAUGGGUAAUCAGCCUUUUGGGUGUGGUUUUGUGGAGCGUGAGGAGUUAAACGCCUUCAUGCCUGCAUAUUCGUGCACUUUGGGUGUACUUGCCCGUGUGUAAGUUAACAUCAAUUUUGGUGGUCAUAAAAUGACUGGAGGAAUGUAGCUUCGAUCUUGUAUUGAAGUGUUAUAGCCUUUGGUAGAUGUGACGAUCGGGAUUGAGGAUUGCAACGGAUACCCUUCGGGGCUACCUGUCUGAUCUCUGAUUGUUGCUCUGGUAUCGAAAGCUUGCUUACGGUUAUCAAAGUCGAUGGUCAAUAGGUUAGAACGGGUUAAAUUCGUUAAGGAUGUUGACGUA
rnacentral:rRNA from 1 species